UACGUAGGGUGCAAGCGUUGUCCGGAAUCAUUGGGCGUAAAGAGCUCGUAGGCGGUCUGUCGCGUCUGCUGUGAAAACCUGGGGCUUAACCCCGGGCUUGCAGUGGGUACGGGCAGACUAGAGUGCGGUAGGGGAGACUGGAAUUCCUGGUGUAGCGGUGAAAUGCGCAGAUAUCAGGAGGAACACCGGUGGCGAAGGCGGCACUCUGGGCUGGUACUGACGCUGAGGAGCGAAAGCGUGGGUAGCGAACAGG
rnacentral:rRNA from 1 species